rnacentral:rRNA from 1 species
GUCGAGAAUCAUUCGCAAUGGGCGCAAGCCUGACGAUGCGACGCCGCGUGUGGGAUGGAGGCCUUCGGGUUGUAAACCACUGUCACAGGGGAAGAAACGUGCGAACGCUAACAUCGUUCGUGCCUGACGUUACCCUGAGAGGAAGCCACGGCUAACUCCGUGCCAGCAGCCGCGGUAAUACGGAGGUGGCGAGCGUUGUUCGGAAUCACUGGGCGUAAAGGGUGUGUAGGCGGCUGGCCGUGUUCGGUGUGAAAUCCCCCGGUUCUUCUGGGGAACUGCAUCGAAAACUGGCCGGCUCGAGUGCAGGAGAGGAGAAUGGAAUUUCCGGUGUAGCGGUGAAAUGCGUAGAUAUCGGAAGGAACGCCAAUGGCGAAAGCAGUUCUCUGGCCUGUAACUGACGCUGAGGCACGAAAGCCAAGGGAGCAAACGGGAUUAGAAACCCCGGUAGUCC